GAUGAACGCUAGCUACAGGCUUAACACAUGCAAGUCGAGCGACCGGCGCACGGGUGAGUAACACGUAUCCAACCUGCCCCUUACCCGGGGAUAGCCUUUCGAAAGAAAGAUUAAUACCCGAUAUAAAGGAUGGGGAUGCGUUCCAUUAGGUUGUUGGUGAGGUAACGGCUCUCCAAGCCUUCGACGGAUAUGGGUUCGGAGAGGAAGGUCCCCCACAUUGGAACUGAGCACCGGUCCAAACUCCUACGGGAGGCAAGAGUUAGGAAGCUUGGUCAAUAAGCUCUAGCCUGAAACAGCCAAGUAGCGUGAAGGAUGUAGGCUUAUGAGUCGUAAACUGCUUUUAUAUAAGAAUCGGUAUUGUAUGAGUAAGGAUCGGCUAACUCCGUGCCAGCAGCCGCGGUAAUAC
rnacentral:rRNA from 1 species